rnacentral:rRNA from 1 species
UACGUAGGGCGCAAGCGUUUGUCCGGAAUUAUUGGGCGUAAAGAGCUCGUAGGCGGCUUGUCACGUCGGGUGUGAAAGCCCGGGGCUUAACCCCGGGUCUGCAUUCGAUACGGGCUAGCUAGAGUGUGGUAGGGGAGAUCGAAUUCCUGGUGUAGCGGUGAAAUGCGCAGAUAUCAGGAGAAACACCGGUGGCGAAGGCGGAUCUCUGGGCCAUUACUGACGCUGAGGAGCGAAAGCGUGGGGAGCGAACAGG